AUGUCCGUCUCCAUCAAGGGGCCCCGGGCGUCUUUGACGUGGCAGAAGCUGCACAAUAAAGUGACCCCUGAGAAGGCCAUCAACGUGCUAGCCGCUGCCCAAGGGGGAAUCUGCGCCAUGUUAAAGGAACAAUCUUCCACCACGGCCCCGAAAGUCUACGCUCUGGAUUCCAGAUGUGAGGGCACAACCGGCUCCACAGUGGUCGUGGGCUGCCUGGUCUCGAACUACUUGCCUGAGCCAGUGACCGUGACCUGGAACUCGGGCACCCUAUCCAGCGGUGUGCACACCUUCCCAUCCGUCCUCGGGUCCUCGGGGCUGUACUCUCUCAGCAGCACUGUGACCGUACCUUCCAGCACCUCGUCCGGCAAGACCUUCACCUGCAACGUAGCCCACCCGGCCAGCAGCACCAAGGUGGACAAGCGCAUCGAGAUCAAUGGCCGCAAACCAUGCCCCAAGUGUCCUGAAUGCCAGAAGUGUUCCAAAUGUCCAUCCCCUGAGCUCCCAGGAGGACCGUCCGUCUUCAUCUUCCCCCCGACACCCAGGGACACCCUCACAAUAUCCCAAAUACCCGAGGUCACCUGCGUUGUGGUUGACGUGGGCCACGAGGACCCCGAUGUCGAGUUCUCCUGGUACGUGGACGACGGAAAGGAGUUCAAGUGCAAGGUCAACAACAAAGGUCUCCCGGCCCCCAUCGUGAGGACCAUCUCCAAGGCCAAAGGGCAGCCCCGGGAGCCGCAGGUGUACAUACUGGCCCCACCGCAGGAGGAGCUGGCCAAGAGCUCGGUCAGCUUAACCUGCAUGGUCACCAGCUUCUACCCGGGCGACAUCGACGUGGAGUGGCAGAGAAAGGGGCAGCCGGAGUCAGAGGACAAGUACGGCACGACCCCACCCCAGCUGGACGCCGACGGGUCCUUCUUCCUGUACAGCAAGCUCAGGGUAGACAAGAGGAGCUGGCAGCAGGGAGACACCUACACGUGUGUAGUUUUGCACGAGGCUCUGCACAAUCACAACACGCAGAAGUCCAUCUCCCAGUCUCCGGGUAAAUGAGCCCCACGGCAUUGUCGCCCCAGCCAGCCCUCCCUCCCCUUGGGCUCUCAGGGUCCAGCGAGGACGCCUGAGCCCCAGCCCUGUGUACAUUCCUCCCGGGCGCCAUGAAAUAAAGCA